UACGUAGGGCGCAAGCGUUUAUCCGGAAUUAUUGGGCGUAAAGAGCUCGUAGGCGGUUUGUCGCGUCUGCCGUGAAAGUCCGGGGCUCAACUCCGGAUCUGCGGUGGGUACGGGCAGACUAGAGUGAUGUAGGGGAGACUGGAAUUCCUGGUGUAGCGGUGAAAUGCGCAGAUAUCAGGAGGAACACCGAUGGCGAAGGCAGGUCUCUGGGCAUUAACUGACGCUGAGGAGCGAAAGCAUGGGAGCGACAGG
rnacentral:rRNA from 1 species